UACGGGGGGGGCAAGCGUUGUUCGGAAUUACUGGGCGUAAAGGGCGCGUAGGCGGUUGGAUAAGUCAGCUGUGAAAACCACGGGCUUAACUCGUGGCCUGCAGUUGAGACUGUCUGGCUUGGGUGUGGGAGAGGAGAGUGGAAUUCCUGGUGUAGCGGUGAAAUGCGUAGAUAUCAGGAGGAACACCAAUUGCGAAGGCAGCUCGCUGGGACGUAACUGACGCUGAGACGCGAAAGCGUGGGGAGCAAACAGG
rnacentral:rRNA from 1 species